ensembl:lncRNA
CUCCUGGAUCUCCGGACCCCAGCCCUAUUCUGGGCCCUCGCCCCUGGGACCCCAGAGAUGGGACUGGAGGGACUUCCUCAAUCCACCUGCAGGAGGGGACCAGUUGAAACUGACUUCAGAAAAACAGCUUUCUGAGCCCAAACAGGCUGCCAAGAGCUAUGCUUUUCCCUCCAAGCUUGACUUUCUGAUUUAAUGAGGCUUCUUGUCCAAGUUGGGCUUCCCUUGAGGCUCAGCUGAUAAAGAAUCUGCCUGCAAUGCGGGAGACCUGGGAUCACUCCCUGGGUUGGGAAGAUCCCCUGGAGAAGGAAAAGGCUACCCACUCCAGUAUUCUGGCCUGGACAGUUCUGUGGACUGUAUAGUCCAUGGGGUCACAGAAUCAGACACGACUGAGCGACUUUCACUCACUCACUUGUCCAAGUUGGGCUUCCCAGGUGCUUCAGCGGGUAAAGAAUCCUCCUGCCAAUGCAGGAGACCCAGGAGAUGCUGGUUUGAUCCCUGGGUUGGAAAGAUCCCCUGGAGAAGGAACUGGCAACCUACUCCAGUAUUCUUGCCCGGGAAAUCCCAUGGACAGAGGAGCCUGGUGGACUACAGUCCAUGGGGUCACAGAGUCGAACCUGACUGAGCAACAGAGCACGCACUUUGUCCAAGUUGAGCCGCUCAGCACCAGCCUGUGUCAGGUGAGCCUAGGGUGGGCCAGCAUGGCUGGAAGUAGACACGUCACAGAGAAAACCCCCUUUCCUAGUAAGGGGCUCCUGCUGGCCGGGCCCAAGACACCUCUGGAAGUUUUCACAGACCCACCAGUGUCCAAGGCAAGUUAAAGCACACUCUGUCACAGAUUUUCACUCAGGUGUUUGUCUUUCUGAGCACGGUGAAGGGGGUUUAACCACGGUGUUCUCCAGAGGAAGAUGCUGGGGGGUUGCGGUUCUCCUGCAGGGAGAUGGAAGGUGCUCAGAAGCGGGCGAGGCAGAGCCUUGCCUCUGGGGCACCAGGCUGAGGCAGAGCCCUCGGGGCGUCCGGGUCUGGUGGGGCAGCAGCCGGCUCACCCACUUCCUGGUGGGACGCAUGCAGGAUACGAGCGGCAGCCGCCUGCUCCUGUACCCGGGGCCCCAGGACUGCGAGAUGGGGGCCAGCUUUGCUGCUCACACUGGUGGUCACCGCCCAGUCACCUGGUGUCAGCUUGAGAAGGAAUCGGCUCCCUGGCCAGGCAUGAGUGGGGUGCCAGCCAGUCAUCAGAGGAGGUAGCUGGAGGCCCGGGGGCAGAUGGAUCGCAGCCUCCUAACGGCUGGGCCGCUGCUCCCUCUCCGAAGCCCCUGGACACGGGGCCCUGUGCAGGCUGUGUGGAGCUGAGUGCCAAGGGGCCUGGAUGCACCAACUCCGCAGGCUUUGACCAUGGAACCCCUGGACGUCCACUGGAGAAUCAACCUGAGAGGUUAGAGGCAGUCUCCCGCAGCUUUCAACACUGUUGUUGAGAAACGGAGAGCCCCCGCGGCCACUGAGCAGGGCUGUACAGCCAGAGAGGGUAACUUUCUGCCCAUUCUGCCUGGCAAUAGUCAUGUCCCACCGCCCUGCAGGGCCGCCCAGGGCUGGGCUCCUCUGGGGGUGCAGGGUAGACUGCCCGAGCCACAGGGACGGGAGACAGCAAGCCAAGCAGAACAGCCGCCUGUGAGUCACCGUUCCAGAACCACCACAAAUGGCCCGCACCUGCUCGCCCACCCCUUCCCACACCUGCCAGCCUCACCAGGGGCUUUUGGCCGCUGGACACAGUGGGGCUGGCGCACACUGACCACCUCCAGAAGACAGUGACAGAUGUCAGCGCCAGCAAGUCCUGCCCCUCCUGUCAGCAGAUGUCAAGAUAUGAAAAAUUGGGCCACUCCCAAUACUUUGGCCACCUGAUGUGAAGAGCCAGCUCAUUGGAAAAGACCCUGACGCUGGGAAAGAUUGAAGGCAGGAGGAGAAGGGGACAACAGAGGAUGAGAUGGUUGGAUGGCAUCACCGAC